rnacentral:rRNA from 1 species
GAGUUUGAUCAUGGCUCAGAUUGAACGCUGGCGGCAGGCCUAACACAUGCAAGUCGAGCGGUAGAGAGAAGCUUGCUUCUCUUGAGAGCGGCGGACGGGUGAGUAAUGCCUAGGAAUCUGCCUGGUAGUGGGGGAUAACGCUCGGAAACGGACGCUAAUACCGCAUACGUCCUACGGGAGAAAGCAGGGGACCUUCGGGCCUUGCGCUAUCAGAUGAGCCUAGGUCGGAUUAGCUAGUUGGUGAGGUAAUGGCUCACCAAGGCGACGAUCCGUAACUGGUCUGAGAGGAUGAUCAGUCACACUGGAACUGAGACACGGUCCAGACUCCUACGGGAGGCAGCAGUGGGGAAUAUUGGACAAUGGGCGAAAGCCUGAUCCAGCCAUGCCGCGUGUGUGAAGAAGGUCUUCGGAUUGUAAAGCACUUUAAGUUGGGAGGAAGGGCAGUAAAUUAAUACUUUGCUGUUUUGACGUUACCGACAGAAUAAGACACCGGCUAACUCUGUGCCAG